CGCACAUUGCGCCCCUUGGUAUUCCAUGGGGCAUGCCUGUUCGAGCGUCAUAUACACCCUCAAGCUCUGCUUGGUGUUGGGCGUCUGUCCCCGCCUCCGCGCGCGGACUCGCCCCAAUGGCAUUGGCAGCGGUCUCUCGCACCUCUCGCGCAGCACAUUGCGCUUCUCGAGGCGACGCAGGCCGCGACCACGAAGCUCACCACGUCUUUGACCUCGGAUCAGGUAGGGAUACCCGCUGAACUUAA
rnacentral:misc_RNA from 1 species